UGAACUUAAACUGUAUUUCUCAGGUCAAGUCGUCCAUUAAAGUGGAGUGAUCACAGAAAAGAAUGAAUUUGGCGAUAGGCCCGUGUGGGAGGAAAAAGACUCGUCUUUGGUGGGUCAGCUGGUGGAGCACUCUCACUGGUCAUGAGGAGAGAAUCACUACAGGUGAGGCAUCAGAAAGUUUGUCAGUGUUUUAUGAGAUAAAAGUUCCUGUGAGAAUGGCAUUGUGUGUUUUUACUUUCACGGAGAAACCUGUAGGAUCUGUGGUGCGAAAGGCAGCCGGUUACAUCAUCGCGGAAUGAAUGCGCUUUGCGUUUGUUGACCGGGUCAUGCACUCCAUUACAACAGCUGCUCAGCUGGACAAGGAAAAGCCCAACGCUCGCUUCAGUGAUGGAAAAGUAGAUGCAGCUGGGAGGUUCUUUGCAGGAAUAUAUUCAGAAAACACAAUAUAUUUGGUGUCCGGGUACCAUGGGAAUAGAACUGCCUCUGUACACGCUUUAUCCUGACCGUUCAUCAUUCAGACCAGGUGGACAUCUCCCACAGUUUGGACUGGUCACUGGAUCACCGCAUCUUUUACCACAUCGACAGCCUGCCUUUACGUGCCGUACAUGACUACGACAUCCAGACUGGAUGUCCAUACUGUAUUUUCAGUAUGUGUGUGUGUGUGUGUGUGUGUGUGUGUGUGUGUGUGUGUGUGUGUGUGUGUGUGUGUGUGUGUGUGUGUGUUAAGCUGACCGCAGAGGGGUUUACAGGGUAGAACCGAUGAAGAUAUACCAGACGGCUUGUGCAUAGACCCAGAGGGCAUCUGUGGGUCGCCUGCUACAAUGGAGGAAGAGGAAUAGAUUUGCACAUUGACCCACAAACAGGUUUAUCCUGACCGACUGCAGACUGUGAAACUGCCAGGAGAAGACCACCUCAUGUUGUUUAGGUGGGAAGGAUCACGCUGAUCUGUUACUGGUGUAGGAGUGACGGGCAUUCCAUCAUUCUCAUAUACUGGAUAAAAACCACGAAGACAGCGAUGAUGCUUAUUAAACCCUCACAAUUUUUCUGUCAAAACAACAUUGACAUUUUACCACCGUUCUAACUGUGCAGCCCAAUGCACGCUUAGGAUAGAAGAAAAUCUUUGUUUCAUGGUAUUAGACAUUGGAAAAUAUUUGCCUUAAACUGAUUUGAUAGACCGGAACUGUUCAUUUACCUGGUCGACAGUGACUUUCAGGCUCUUUAAAACAACUUUUGGCGUCUUUCAAUAUGCGGUGACAAAUUUCUAUGAGUGUUUGUUAGCUAGGAAAUUAAUUUAAAAUGUUGCAUUUAUAGCCUAAUAUUGCUUUUAUCCAAAGUAUGCAUUAUUAAUAUUAGUGUCAGUAUUUUUUGGGAGUCUUUAUCGUUUAAUUUAAGACAUUAUUUGAUUUGCAUAUUGUUAGAACUGUGCUUUUGUGGUUCAGCAUUAUUUUGCAUAAUUUUAAUUCCUGUGUAAAUGCAUUUAUGACGCGUUAGAGCCGCAUUAACGGUCAGUGUAAAUCCACAUUUUCGUGGUUUUAUGCCGCUUCAGAUUCGGUUUCUGUGCCGCCUUUGCUGUGUGAAGAGGCCAUUAUAGUCAGUGUGGAAAGAGUUAUGUUAAUUGAUAUUGUUUUGAUAGUUAUACGUAUUAUUAAAAAGAAGAAUGUAUUUUUGCAAAGAAUAAUAAAAUUGAG